UCGAGGGGCAGCGGAGGCAGUAGCAAUACUGCCUGCCGGCGACCGGCGCACGGGUGAGUAACACGUAUGCAACCUACCCUUGUCAGGGGGAUAAGCCGGAGAAAUCCGGUCUAAUACCGCGUGACAUCGGGAUUCCGCAUGGGAUUCCGAUCAAAGGAGCAAUCCGGACAAGGAUGGGCAUGCGGCGCAUUAGCUAGUUGGCGGGGUAACGGCCCACCAAGGCGACGAUGCGUAGGGGUUCUGAGAGGAAGGCCCCCCACACUGGUACUGAGACACGGACCAGACUCCUACGGGAGGCAGCAGUGAGGAAUAUUGGUCAAUGGGCGCGAGCCUGAACCAGCCAAGUCGCGUGAGGGAAUAAGGUCCUAUGGAUUGUAAACCUCUUUUGUCGGGGAGCAAUGAGCGUCACGCGUGAUGCGUUGAGAGUACCCGAAGAAAAAGCAUCGGCUAACUCCGUGCCAGCAGCCGCGGUAAUACGGAGGAUGCGAGCGUUAUCCGGAUUUAUUGGGUUUAAAGGGUGCGUAGGCGGGGAGCCAAGUCAGCGGUAAAAUCGUGGGGCUCAACCCCAUCCCGCCGUUGAAACUGGUUU
rnacentral:rRNA from 1 species